GUGUCUGUAGCUUAGUCGGUAGAACACCCGACUAUGGUGCGGUGGAACCCGGAUUCGAGUCCCGCUGAAGGCAUG